GCGGAGAUGGCCGAGGGGCUUAGGCGCUCGCCUGCAGAGCGAGUUACCCGGGUUCGACUCCCGGUCUCCGCU
rnacentral:tRNA from 1 species